GUGAACAGAAGAACUGACAUGUGAAAAACAGGAAUAGGAGUAAAGUCAUCAAUUGAAGUCCCAGAAGAGAAUUGUUGAAGCAUUUCUGACUUACCACCAACAUGGAAGCAAUGCCCCAAUAAUGCAGCACAAAUGCAUUGGAAUUGGAAGGCCCACCCAACAAGUUGAUAAGGUGCAAAGAUAGAAACAAGACAUUGCUGGUUGAUCAAGAUGAAAUUGACUGUUUGAAGAGGGUUGCUCGAUUGAACGAGGAAGCUGAAUCCAUAUAUGAACUCUCCAAGCGCCCUAACCCGGCUUUUGAAGUCAGACCAAUAUGGAAAGACAUUGUUUUAUCGCCUUUAAUGUCGACCAUCCAACAGGAGCUCAAAUAUGCAUUUAAAAAGGUUGAAAAAUUGAAACAUUACUUUAUGAAGGAUGGAUGACGUUUAAAA